rnacentral:rRNA from 1 species
AAGCGGACCUCAUAAAGUGCGUCGUAGUCCGGAUUGGAGUCUGCAACUCGACUCCAUGAAGUCGGAAUCGCUAGUAAUCGUGGAUCAGAAUGCCACGGUGAAUACGUUCCCGGGCCUUGUACACACCGCCCGUCACACCAUGGGAGUGGGUUGCAAAAGAAGUAGGUAGCUUAACCUUCGGGAGGGCGCUUACCACUUUGUGAUUCAUGACUGGGGUGAAGUCGUAACAAGGUAACCGUAGGGGAACCUGCGGUUGGAUCACCUCCUUACCUGAAAGAAGC